GACGAACGCUGGCGGCGUGCUUAACACAUGCAAGUCGAACGGAAAGGCCCUGCGUUUGUGGGGUGCUCGUGUGGCGAACGGGUGAGUAACACGCGAGUAACCUGCCCUUGACUUUGGGAUAACUUCAGGAAACUGGGGCUAAUAUCGGAUAGAAGAUACUGCUGCAUGGUGGGGGUUGGAAAGUUUCGGCGGUUGGGGAUGGACUAGAGGCUUAUCAGCUUGUUGGUGGGGUAGUGGCUUACCAAGGUUUUGACGGGUAGCCGGCCUGGGAGGGUGACCGGCCACAUUGGGACUGAGAUACGGCCCAGAAUCCUACGGGAGGCAGCAGGGGGGAAUAUUGCACAAUGAGCGGAAGCCAGAUGCAGCAACGCCGCGUGCGUGAUGACGUCCUUCGGGUUGUAAACCGCUUUCGCCGGUGACGAAGCGUGAGUGACGGUAAUUGGUAAAGAAGCACCGGCUAACUACGUG
rnacentral:rRNA from 1 species